GACGAAGGGGGCUAGCGUUGUUCGGAAUUACUGGGCGUAAAGCGCGUGUAGGUGGUUGUCCAAGUUGGAUGUGAAAGCCUUGAGCUCAACUCAAGAAAUGCAUUCAGGACUGGAUGACUAGAGGACCGGAGAGGAUAGUGGAAUUCCCAGUGUAGUGGUGAAAUACGUAGAUAUCAGGAGGAACACCGGUGGCGAAGGCGGGUCUCUGGGCCGAUAUUGACGCUGAGGAGCGAAAGCGUGGGGAGCGAACAGG
rnacentral:rRNA from 1 species